rnacentral:lncRNA from 1 species
UUGAGCAUGUCCGCACAUCAUUACUCCACAUGGUUCCAUUACCUACUCAUGAUCAGGUUGUUGCUUAAUUAUCUGGUUCCUAGGAAACUCAUCGCGGUUCUCUCCAGUCCCAGUGUAUCGACAUUGUUAUGGUUACCUGACAUCCUCUUCUAUGACUCUUGCUCCUAGUCCCACUAUUACUAUUGUUGUAGCUUCUUCAGCAUCUUUUAGCUAUUCCACAAAGAAGGAAUGUCGCUAUUGCAAAUUACCUGGACAUCACAUUUCAAAGUGUCAUCAUAAACUGGCUUGUAAGAAUACUCAAGCUUUUAGUGUCACGCCC